rnacentral:tRNA from 11 species
AGAAGUUUAGGAUAUACUAGUCCGCGAGCCUUCAAAGCUCUAAGAAAACACACAAGUUUAACUUCUG